GCCCAGGUGGCGGAAUUGGUAGACGCGUCGGUCUCAAAAACCGAUGAGGUAAUUCUCGUGCCGGUUCGAUCCCGGCCCCGGGUA
rnacentral:tRNA from 1 species